UUGGGGUUCAGCUCAGUGGCAGAGCAUUUGCUUAGUAUGCAUGAGUACAGAAGGCCCAGAGUUCAAUACCCAGGAUCACAAG
rnacentral:tRNA from 1 species